rnacentral:rRNA from 1 species
UCAUCUUCGGGGGUAGAGCACUGUUUCGGCUAGGGGGUCAUCCCGACUUACCAACCCGAUGCAAACUACGAAUACCGAAGAAUGUUAUCACGGGAGACACACGGCGGGUGCUAACGUCCGUCGUGAAGAGGGAAACAACCCAGACCGCCAGCUAAGGUCCCAAAGUCAUGGUUAAGUGGGAAACGAUGUGGGAAGGCACAGACAGCCAGGAUGUUGGCUUAGAAGCAGCCAUCAUUUAAAGAAAGCGUAAUAGCUCACUGGUCGAGUCGGCCUGCGCGGAAGAUGUAACGGGGCUAAACCAUGCACCGAAGCUGCGGCAGCGACACUAUGUGUUGUUGGGUAGGGGAGCGUUCUGUAAGCCUGCGAAGGUGACCUGUGAGGGUUGCUGGAGGUAUCAGAAGUGCGAAUGCUGACAUAAGUAACGAUAAAGCGGGUGAAAAGCCCGCUCGCCGGAAGACCAAGGGUUCCUGUCCAACGUUAAUCGGGGCAGGGUGAGUCGACCCCUAAGGCGAGGCCGAAAGGCGUAGUCGAUGGGAAACAGGUUAAUAUUCCUGUACUUGGUGUUACUGCGAAGGGGGGACGGAGAAGGCUAUGUUAGCCGGGCGACGGUUGUCCCGGUUUAAGCAUGUAGGCUGAUUAUCCAGGCAAAUCCGGAUAAUCAAGGCUGAGGUGUGAUGACGAGGCACUACGGUGCUGAAGUAACAAAUGCCCUGCUUCCAGGAAAAGCCUCUAAGCAUCAGGUAACAUCAAAUCGUACCCCAAACCGACACAGGUGGUCAGGUAGAGAAUACCAAGGCGCUUGAGAGAACUCGGGUGAAGGAACUAGGCAAAAUGGUGCCGUAACUUCGGGAGAAGGCACGCUGGUGUGUAGGUGAAGUCCCUGCGGAUGGAGCUGAGACCAGUCGAAGAUACCAGCUGGCUGCAACUGUUUAUUAAAAACACAGCACUGUGCAAACACGAAAGUGGACGUAUACGGUGUGACGCCUGCCCGGUGCCGGAAGGUUAAUUGAUGGGGUUAUCCGUAAGGAGAAGCUCUUGAUCGAAGCCCCGGUAAACGGCGGCCGUAACUAUAACGGUCCUAAGGUAGCGAAAUUCCUUGUCGGGUAAGUUCCGACCUGCACGAAUGGCGUAAUGAUGGCCAGGCUGUCUCCACCCGAGACUCAGUGAAAUUGAACUCGCUGUGAAGAUGCAGUGUACCCGCGGCAAGACGGAAAGACCCCGUGAACCUUUACUAUAGCUUGACACUGAACAUUGAGCCUUGAUGUGUAGGAUAGGUGGGAGGCUUUGAAGCGUGGACGCCAGUCUGCGUGGAGCCAACCUUGAAAUACCACCCUUUAAUGUUUGAUGUUCUAACGUUGGCCCCUGACCGGGGUUGCGGACAGUGUCUGGUGGGUAGUUUGACUGGGGCGGUCUCCUCCCAAAGCGUAACGGAGGAGCACGAAGGUUAGCUAAUCCUGGUCGGACAUCAGGAGGUUAGUGCAAUGGCAUAAGCUAGCUUGACUGCGAGCGUGACGGCGCGAGCAGGUGCGAAAGCAGGUCAUAGUGAUCCGGUGGUUCUGAAUGGAAGGGCCAUCGCUCAACGGAUAAAAGGUACUCCGGGGAUAACAGGCUGAUACCGCCCAAGAGUUCAUAUCGACGGCGGUGUUUGGCACCUCGAUGUCGGCUCAUCACAUCCUGGGGCUGAAGUAGGUCCCAAGGGUAUGGCUGUUCGCCAUUUAAAGUGGUACGCGAGCUGGGUUUAGAACGUCGUGAGACAGUUCGGUCCCUAUCUGCCGUGGGCGCUGGAGAAUUGAGGGGGGCUGCUCCUAGUACGAGAGGACCGGAGUGGACGCAUCACUGGUGUUCGGGUUGUCAUGCCAAUGGCACUGCCCGGUAGCUAAAUGCGGAAGAGAUAAGUGCUGAAAGCAUCUAAGCACGAAACUUGCCCCGAGAUGAGUUCUCCCUGAGACUUUAAGUCUCCUGAAGGAACGUUGAAGACGACGACGUUGAUAGGCCGGGUGUGUAAGCGCAGCGAUGCGUUGAGCUAACCGGUACUAAUGAACCGUGAGGCUUAACCUUACAACGCCGAAG